GGGGGGUGCAAGCGUUGUUCGGAAUUAUUGGGCGUAAAGCGCGUGUAGGCGGUUUGUUAAGUCUGUUGUGAAAGCCCUGGGCUCAACCCAGGAAGUGCACUGGAAACUAGCAAACUUGAAUACGGGAGAGGGUAGUGGAAUUCCUGGUGUAGGAGUGAAAUCCGUAGAUAUCAGGAGGAACACCGGUGGCGAAGGCGGCUACCUGGACCGAUAUUGACGCUGAGACGCGAAAGCGUGGGUAGCAAACAGGAUUAGAUACCCUGGUAGUCCACGCCGUAAACGAUGAGUACUAGGUGUUGCGGGUAUUGACCCCUGCAGUGCCGCAGCUAACGCAUUAAGUACUCCGCCUGGGAAGUACGGUCGCAAGACUA
rnacentral:rRNA from 1 species